UGGGGAAUCUUGGACAAUGGGGGCAACCCUGAUCCAGCAAUGCCGCGUGUGUGAAGAAGGCCUUCGGGUUGUAAAGCACUUUAGUUGGGGAGGAAGGUUAGUAGUUUAAGAGAUAACUAAUUUGACUGUACCCAAAGAAUAAGCACCGGCUAACUCUGUGCCAGCAGCCGCGGUAAUACAGAGGGUGCAAGCGUUAAUCGGAAUUACUGGGCGUAAAGGGCGCGUAGGCGGAUAUUUAAGUUAGAUGUGAAAUCCCUGGGCUUAACCUAGGAACUGCAUCUAAUACUGGAUAACUGGAGUGCGGUAGAGGGUAGUGGAAUUUCCGGUGUAGCGGUGAAAUGCGUAGAUAUCGGAAGGAACACCAGUGGCGAAGGCGGCUACCUGGACUGACACUGACGCUGAGGCGCGAGAGCGUGGGGAGCAAACAGGAUUAGAUACCCCUGUAGUCC
rnacentral:rRNA from 1 species